UAUGUGAUCGUCUCUCGCAUAUCAAUAAGCGGAGGAAAAGAAACUAACAAGGAUUCCCCUAGUAACGGCGAGUGAAGCGGGAAGAGCUCAAAUUUGAAAUCUUAAAGGGUUUCCCUUUACGAAUUGUAGUUUAAAGAAGUGUUUUCUGUUGAGGUUUUGGUAAAAGUUCUUUGGAAUAGGACAUCAUAGAGGGUGAGAAUCCCGUAUUUGACCUUUACUUUCAACUUUGUGAUACACUUUCAAAGAGUCGGAUUGUUUGGGAAUGCAGUCCAAAAUGGGUGGUAAAUUUCAUCUAAAGCUAAAUAUUGGCGAGAGACCGAUAGCAAACAAGUACCGUGAGGGAAAGAUGAAAAGAACUUUGAAAAGAGAGUUAAACAGUACGUGAAAUUGUCAAAAGGGAAGCGUUUGACACCAGUGUUGUUUUUCUGAAAAUCAAUUAAAGAACUGUUUAUGCUAAGUUGUUUAGACUUUAUCAGCUAACUGUUUAGUUUUGAGCUUUUCUUUAAUGCACUUUUCAGUUAGCAAGUCAACAUCAAUUUCUUUUGCUGUAAAAAAGCUUGAGGAAGGUGGCUUGAGAUUCGUCUUAAGUGUUUAUAGCCUCUUGCCUAUGCAGUCGGAGAGAUUGAGGUCUGCAGCGUAGAUCCUUCGGGGUUAAAUGCAUUUGUGCUAAGUUAUAGCAUUUUAUAGACAACUUGUUGACUAUGAUUUGUCUUGUAGCUUACUCGCUUAUGUUAUUUUACCUACGCUUAGGAUGUUGAAGUCAUCGUAUCGCGC
rnacentral:rRNA from 1 species